UAUCAAUCAAUCUUUUUCUUAAUAGCUGGUGCUUUUAGCAUGUUUUUUAAGCCACUUUGUUGAGGUGUGACUGGCAUGUAAAAAGCUGUACAUGCCUAACGUAGACCACUCAGUGAGUUUGUGGAUGAGUGUGUCCACGAAGACGUUAUCGUGAUCAGGCCAUGCACGUGUUCAUCGCCUCCCAAAGGCUCCUCCUGCCGUUUAUAUUGCGUGUGUAGAUGCUAAGAAAUGCUAACAUAAGCUCCACCCUCCCAGCGGGUUCUGAGCCCACAGAGCAGUGGACACACACAGCACACGUCACACACAGCACACGUCACACACAGCACACGUCACACACAGCACACGUCACACACAGCACACGUCAGUGCACACACAGCACACGUCACACACAGCACACAUCACACACAGCACACAUCACACACAGCACACGUCACACACAGCACACAUCACACACAGCACACAGCACACAUCAGCGCACACACAGCACACGUCAGCGCACACACAGCACACAUCAGUGCACACACAGCACACGUCAGCGCACACACAGCACACAUCACACACAGCACACGUCACACACAGCACACAUCAGCGCACACAGCACACAUCACACAGCACACAUCACACAGCACACGUCACACACAGCACACAGCGCACACACAGCACACAUCACACACAGCACACGUCACACACAGCACACAUCAGCGCACACAGCACACAUCACACAGCACACAUCACACAGCACACGUCACACACAGCACACGUCACACACAGCACACAUCACACACAGCACACAGCACACACACAGCACACAUCACACACAGCACACAGUGCACACACAGCACACAUCAGCGCACACACAGCACACGUCAGUGCACACACAGCACACGUCAGCGCACACAGCACACAUCACACAGAGCACACAUCAGUGCACACACAGCACACAUCAGCGCACACACAGCACACGUCAGUGCACACACAGCACACAUCACACAGCACACAUCACACACAGCACACAUCAGUGCACACACAGCACACGUCAGCGCACACACAUCACACACAGCACACAUCACACAGAGCACACAUCAGUGCACACACAGCACACAUCAGUGCACACAGCACACAUCACACACAGCACACAUCAGCGCUCACACAGCACACAUCAGCGCUGUGUGCCCUGUGCCCUGCAGGUCAGCGGAGCUUCCUCGUCCUGCACCACCAGGGCUUUGCACCCUGGGCCAGCACCUCUCACUCCCUCCCCCAGCCCCUGGCAGCCGCCACUCACUCUGCUUCUGUGAGCUGCACUCUGAGAUUCCUCACGUAUAUGGAAUCAUGCAGCCUCUGGCCUUCGGUGCCUGGCUUUUUUCACUUUGCGGGAUGUCCUCA
rnacentral:lncRNA from 1 species